CGAACCAGUAAUUUGACAACCAGUUCACUUAUUUGCUGCUACAGCAUCUGGAAAACUAUUGCUCAUUUUAUAAACUCUAGCAGCUUAUAACAUUAAUCAGAAGACACUCAACAUUACAGAUCCGAUGCUUGUAUUUGAAAACUAAUAUUCAAAAAGGCACAUUGGCCUCUUGAUGGGAAAUUGCACAGUCUGCACACUCCUCAGUUGCCACGAUGGUGAAGGGUUGAUAGGAAGAAGGUGCCUGGUGUGAUGACCUUCAUUAAUCAAGGGACUGAUUUCAAGAGCCACUAGAUAACCCCUGUAAACUGGACUACCAUCUCCACAAAUCAAAUCCUUCUUAUGUAUUACCAUUGAACUCUAAUUACUACUUUAGUUGACAUCUGGUCAACAUGGCACCCAGCUGCAAUGUUCGUGGAGGAUGUGACUCAGAUUUAGCUGCAUUCUUUGGUUCGUAGGGAUGGUAUUGGUGGCAGUGCGGGGAGUCAGGGGAUUGGGAUGAGGAGUUAGAGGUCAGAGAAGAAAGGAGCCAGAGCUCAAGUCGGAGAGCUUCACAGUCCAGGGCCAGUGAUCCCCCGUGAAUAGAUCUCAGGCCAACAGUCGCCAACACCAAAGCCUGAUGAUCCCCGUGGUCAUUGACUGAGGUCAGUGGGUCCCAUGGAUGAGGGCUGGUGCCACCCACUGCCCCAGGUUGGCAAGUUUCCUUAGGUCAGUGAGACUCGGAAUCAGAGAUCAUCUGAGUAGAAGGCACAAAGCCCAGUGAGUUCAGGGGUCAGAGAUCUGUAUGAGUGUAGAGUCCUGUGGUCAAGACUGAAGCUCAAGGACUGAAGUCGGCAAGGCUGGAAGUUGAGGUACAAUGGUUGAAGCCCCCAGAUCGCCUCAUCUGGAAGUCAGAAGCUUGAUGUCUGAGAGUCCCAACUGGAUUCUGGACAUGGGAGACCUGGAGGGAGUGAGUGAAUGAGCGCACAUUAGUUAGGGUGGGAAAAGGCCCGUUUUACUAUUGUUUUGUUCUUGUUUCAUGUAGUUCUGCUGAACGUGGUGGGCAGGCGAUGAUAAUAUUUGUUGGUUGCCCCAAGCACAUCCAUAAGUUGUGUUGGUUAACGCAAAUGACAAAUUUCACUAUGUUCAGUGCCCAUUGAUAAAUAAAUGAACCUAAAUCUGAACCUUGUGGUCCCUCAAGCCUUGACUUUCUAGAAUCAAAGUUAGAAAACAGGAGGUUAUUCAGUUUUUUGCAUUUUUUACUUUAUUUCAUUUUUUAUCUUGAGAUAAAUCACACAGGCACUUCUGGGCCAACGAGUCCCUAAGACACAGGAUCAGAAUUAAGCUAUUUUGCCUAAAGAGCCUGCUCCAUCAUUCAGUCAUGGCAGAUCCUUUUUUCUCCUCCUCAACGCCAUUCCCUGGCCUUCUCCCUGUAACCGUUGAUAUGUCCAAUCAAGAACCUAUCAAUCUCUGCCUUAAAUACAACCAACAACCUGGCCUCCACAGCAGCUUGCAGUAACAAAUUCCACAAAUUCACCAUCCUCUGGUUAAAGAAAUUUCUCCACAUCUGUUUUAAAUGGACACCCCUCUAUCCUGAGGCUGUGCCCUCUUGUCCAUGGGAAACAUCCUUUCCAUAUCUACUCUCUCUUGGCCUUUCAACUUUCCAGCAAGUAUAGACCCAGAGCCAUCAAAUGUUCCUUGUAUGAUAACCUUCUCAUUCCUGGAAUCAUCCCUGUGAACCACCUCUGGACUCUCUUCAAUGCCAGCACAUCUUUUCUUAGAUGAGGAGCCCAACACUCUUCACAAUACUCAAGGUGAAGCCUCACCAGUGCCUUAUAAAGCCUCAGCAUCACAUUCCUGCUCUUGUAUUCUAGACCUCUUGCAAUGAAUGCUAACAUUGCAGUUGCCUUCCUCACCAGCAACCCAACCUUUAGGAUGUUCUGCACAAGGACCCCCAAGUCCCUUUGCAUCUCGGAUUUUUGGAUUUUCUCCCCAUUUAGAAAAAAGUCCACACAUUUAUUUCCACUGCCAUAGUGCAUGACCAAGCAUUUUCUAACAUUGUAUUUCAUUUGCCACUUUCUUACCCAUUCUCCUAAUCUGUUUAAGUCCUUCUGCAACCUACUUGUUUCGUCAACACUAUCUGCCCCUCCACCAAUCUUCAUAUCAUCAACAAACUUGGCAACAAAGAUAUCUAUAUAAUCUAAAUCAUUGCUAUACAGCAUAAAAAGCAGUCCUAACACAAUCCCUGCAGAACACCACUAGUCACUGGCAGCUGACCAGACAAGUAUCCUUUUAUUCCCACUUGCUGCCUCCUACCAAUCAGCCAAUACUCUAACCAUGCCAGUAGCUUUCCUGUAGUACCAUGGGCUCUUAGCAUGGUAAGCAGCCUCAUGUGGCACCUUGUCAGAGGUCUACUGAAAGUUCAAAUAUACAACAUCUACAGUAUCCCCGUUAUCUAUCCUACUUGUAAUCUCAAAGAGUUCCAACAGGUUUUUCAGGUAAGAUUUUUCCUUAAGAAAACCAUGCUGACAUUAUCCUAUCUUGUCCUGUGCUACCAAGUACUCAAUAACCUAAUCCUUAACAAUUGAUUCUAACAUCUUCCCAACCAUUGAGGUCAGGCUAACUGGUCUAUAAUUUCCUUUCUGCUGCCUUCCUCCUUUCUUAAACAGUGGAAUGACAUUUGCAAUUUUCCAGUCCUCUGGCAUCAUGCCAGACUUUGGAGUCACGCCGCCCAGCAACGCAAAUAUUUAACUCUUGCCCAAUUACAGGACAAUUUACAAUGACCAAUUAACCUAAUAACUGGGACAUGUUUGGACUGUGGGAGGAAACCAAAGCACCCAGAGGAAAUCAGUGCAGUUCACACAGAGAAUGUACCAACAACUUACAGAUGGAUCUGGAAUUGAACUCCAAACCCUGGCACCCUAAGCUGUAAUAGUGUUGCACUAACCAUCACGCUACUACGGAGGCUGUUUGUCAGUUGUCAGUUGAAAAAGACUAAACCAGCUUUAACCUAUCUUCCAACAUUUGUAGCCUUGGACAUCGAAUUCUUUUCUGUUCACUUACCUUGUAUUUCUCUCCUCGAGAGCUAGAACCUACAAAAGUGGAACAUUGAAACAGGUUCACGGGUUUGGUGAGUGAGUAAGAAAAUACUAACUACAAAAACGCAUAUUAAUUAUUUAUUUUAAAUGAGUAAGAAAAAAAUUCGAUCAAACAUUUAAGUUGCCCCAAGUUACAAAAACUACAAAACUAAAAAUUGAACAAACAGGUACUUAUUUAAAAAUUAUGUGAGAGCACGGUUCCAGGGACAAAGGGGAAGAGAGAACUUUUUGCACGUUACUCUUUAUACCCCUGAAGUGUUUGAAACUGAACAGUAGGUGCCAUGGCACACAAGCCAGCCAAUGAAAAGAGCAGCUGCAAUAUUUAAACUGACUAAUCAUGAUUGACACAACAGAGGCAGCUUUAGACAACAAAUAAGCCAUGCCCUCCCCCCACCCCUCCCAGGACAAAAAGACAGGAUAUUCUUGUGUAUUCCUGAUUUCUUUUAUCCACAGCCACGUAGUAACUGAAAUGCUCCCACGCACGUGGCCUUUGUUGCUUCACAGUUGGUAGUUUCUUGUAUAUAAUGUUAAUGUAAAAUUGAAAUUAUGCUAAUUUAAUUUUGACAUCUAUGCUAAUAAAGGUGAGCAAUACCAUAAGGUAAAGGAGCAGAAUUAGUCCAUUUGGCCCAUCGAGUCUGCUCCACCAUUUCAUCAUAGCUGAUUCAUUUUUCCGCUCAGCCCCAGUCUCAUGCCUUCUUCCCAUAUCCCUUCAUGCCUUGACCAAUCAAGAAUCUAUCAAGUUCUCCCUUAAAUAUACAGACAUGACUUCCACAGCUGCCUGUGUCAACAAAUUCCACAGUUUCACCACGCUCUGGCUAAAGAAAUUCUUCCUCAUCUCUGUUCUAAAAGGAUGCUCCUCUAUUCUGAGGCUGUGUCCUCUGGUCUUAGACCAGGCAUGGGCAAACUACGGCCCGGGGGGCCAUAUGCGGCCCAUUAAGCUUUUUAAUUCGGCCCGCAGAACUUGAUGAAAUUAUAUUAAUAAACCUUGUUAACGUUUUUUCCCUGCAAUUCUGGCGUUUUCCCAAUAGAUGACGCACUCUAUAUACAUUGACCUUUGUUGAAGUGCAGCGUAUUACUCCACAUUUGCGCUUUACUCUUUGUUCGGCUCGACCUAUUUGUGUGAACAGGCGUUCAGCAUCAUGAACAUCAACAAAGCCAGCCACAGAUCCAAGUUAACUGACCAACACCUCAGAUCCAUCCUGAGAAUCGCCACAACAAAACUAAAUCCAGACUUUGAUGCACUGGCUAAAAAGGGAGACCAACAACACUGUUCCCACUGAAAAUAAAAAUAAGUUUCUUCGUUGCGUUAUGUAAAAAAUGCAUUUGAAAAUAUUUUUUUCAAUAAGCCUUACAUGUUACAUGUCAGUUCUGUUAAGUGAUGGACAUGAGUAGUGCGCAGGUGCACGUACGUUCUCAAAAUAAAAAAUGCACUCCAGAUCAAAUAACGCGCUCCGCAUACUGGCGCGCUGUCACUGUUCUGUUCUUGUGCUGGUCGUUGUUGAGUUUUGGCACAGGGGACAAUUGAAUAAGAAGGAGCAGGACAACUAGACCUGCAUCUCCUACCGUUUUUGAAAUAAAGACAGUCAGGAGGAGAGUGAUGAUGAUAAUAUCUUGAAGGAUAACAGAAUUUUCAGUGCUUUAAAAUAAUAACUGUUACUAUUAAAAAAGCUGUAUUUUAUUCAUUUAAUUUUCAGUGUUUUAAAAGUCAUUUCAAUAAAUAGCUAAAUACCAUGGGACUUCAAAGACAGAUAUUUUGUUGUAAUGCAUUUGUUCAUUUUCAAUUGAAAUUAAAGCAUGUUUUCUACAUAUCCCAUGAUAUUUUAUUUUCUCAUAUGAGGUGUAUUACCAAAACACUCCGUCUAUCUGCUCCUGGUCCGGCCCCCCUGUCAAAUUUUAGAACCCUUUGUGGCCCACAAGUCAAAAAGUUUGCCCACCCCUGUCUUAGACUCUCCCACCAUAGGAAACACCCUGUAAUUAAUUAUGUGUUAAUGAAUAUAAUCCAUAAAUUUUCUAAACAAUAAACAUUCCACAACCUUUGCUUUGAAACAUUUUAGAGCGUCAACACAUUUACAUUGUCAGUGUUUCAAGUUACAACACUGUUACAAAUUGUAACAAUAUACACAGAAUGGAAGGUAGUAGCUAAUUAAUAAACUACUAACCCAUUGAACACUGAUGCUAAGUUUACAAAAUGUUAAAGAUUUCUUUUGUUGUACCAUAUUUCAUUAUACCCUCCAAUUAAUAAAUUUAAAAAUGUGAUUUUUCAAUUUUCAUUCUAAAUAUUCACAGUAUGCAUUUUACAAAAAAACCAUUAAAAGUACCACACAUUUUUUAAUCAGUAUAAAAUCUUUCAGCUUAGUGCAAUGGUUGGUUCACUCAGGUGCGAAAAAUGAUAAAUAAAUCUUAAACUGAACCACUCUACCAAUGUGUUUAUAUACCCACAAUCCUCUCCUAUAACCUAGCGAAUUUCCUAAAUAAAUAUUUUGCUUUCAUUUCCAAGGACUUUAACAUUUAGCUAAACACGCUUUCUGGAAGGGGAAGGGCAUAACAUUCCCUAUGUGUACAUCAGGAAUGGGCAACACUUGGGAAAUUUACAGUGGUUUGAAGUUUUGCAUUACUGCUAAUUUCAGACUUUGAAACCUCAAUAUGGAAGUACCUAUGGACUCAGUUUCAAGGACUCUACAACUGAUAUUCCUCAGAUCUAUCAAACUCUCUCAAAGCAACACAUGCAAAAGGCUGGAGGAACUCAACAGGUCAGGCAUAAUCUAUGGAAAAGAGUAAUGUUACGUACCCCGUAACUGGGUCACUUACCAGGAAAGAUAGAGAGGUCCGUUGAAGUCUGAUGGUACUAUUUUUAACAGUAUUUAUUGAUAAAAAUACACAAAAUAAUAUCAAUGCAAACAUAUAGUAUACAUUGUCAAUACUAAAUCUAAAAGCGUGGGUAUAAUAAUAAUAAUCAAUAAGAAAUAGCUCUAUCAUUGUCUAGGGGAUAAUGUAUUGUCCGAUGGAAAUAUAAAAGUCACUUUUAGUUCGUUCAAGCUGCAGCGUUUUGAUUUGAGAGAAAGACAGUUUAAAACUUGCCCAGUCCUUUUAUGAUGUCAAUCCUUUGAGAGUUGUUGGGAGUUGAUUUCCCUGUUGUUAGCUAAAAACUGUUCUUCCGUGGUGAAGGCAUACCAAUUCUGGGGCAAAUGGAACCGGACGCACGUGGCCUCCCCACCAGCUUUCGCUAUUACGGGAUCGCUAGCGUUUCUUCUGGUGCAUCUGAGGGGCUGUUCCUACAGACCCUCUUUUAUCCUGACUCACAGGGUCGCAGAUGUCAAUCAGGUAGGGAUGAUGCAAUCCCUCCACCAACCAGCCCACUUUGCCUGAGGGCUUCCACAAAGCACAGUAUUUUAACACACAAUUCAGUCUCCACCCGCAGCUUUACAUCGCCGGAGGGGUCAAGACAUUCCAAACAUCUCUCUCUCAUUUCCUGGGUCUCCUGAACUGACUCAAAAGUGAUCUUGUGAUUCUCACAAAGGAGGGGGCUAUCCCGCACCCUUCGGUCCCUCAGAGCUGUGGUACAUUCAUAACAGUAAACAGUUGACGUUUCAGGCCGAGACCCUUCUUCAGGACUGAUAGGGAAGGGGGAAGAUGCCAGAAUAAAAAGCUGGGGAGAGGGGAAGGCUAGCUGGAAGGUGGUUGGUGAAGCACGGCCUGGAGAAGAAAAAGUCUGAUAGGAGAGGAGAGUGGAUGGUAGGAGAAAGGGAAGGAGGAAGGAACCUGGGGAAACCUAUCAACUUUCAGCUAGCCUCUUUCCCCACCUUCCACUUUUUUUAUUCUGGCAUCUACCCCCUUCCUUAUGAGUACUGAAGAAGGCUCUCGGCCUGAAACAUCAACCGUUUACUCUUUUCCAUAGAUGCUGGCUGACCUGCUGAGGUCCUCCAGCAUUUUGUGUGUGUUGCUUUGGAUUUCUAGCACCUGCAGAUUUUCUCAGUAUUGUGCUUAUUUAGUUAUUGUAUUUACACAAUUUGUCUUUGUACAUUGUUUUUAUAUUUUCAGUCGUUGUAGUUUUCACUUAUUUAGAGAUACAGCAUGGAAUUGGCCCUUUGAGCCACACUGCCCAGCAACCCCCAACAACCCCGAUUUAACCAGAACCUAAGCGUGACCAAUUAACCAACCCGCUACACCUUUGGACUGUGGGAGGAAGCUGGAGGACACGGAGAAAACCAACACAUUCCACGAGGAGAACAUACAAACUCCUUACAGAGGACAUCCAGAUUAAACCCUGAACUCCAAUGCCCCAAGCUGUAAUAGUGUUGGGCUAACCAUGAUUCUAUUAUGUUUCUUUGCUCCACUCUGAAUGCCUGCAAGAAAGUGAAUCUCAGGGUAGUAUACGGUGUAAAGUAUAAAUUUACUUUGAAUCUCUUAUCUUCUCCAGCAAUGCAGUCUCUGUUCUACUGAUCAUACAGCAAGGUAAUAAGCCCUUCUGGCCCAAUUACAUCCAUGUGAUCAUUCAACCUAUUAACCUGUCCAUCUCUGGACUGUGGGAGGAAAGUGGAGUACCCAGAUGAAACUGACACAGGCACAAGAAGAAUGUAACUGGUUGUUAGUCCAUCCUGGUUUAUUACUUUACUUUAUUGUCACCAAACAAUUGAUACUAGAGUGUACAAUCAUCAGUGAUAUUUAUUUCUGUGCUUCACACUCCCUGAAGUACAUAUCAAAGUAAAUAUAAUAAAAAAAUUUAAACAUGGGUUUGUGCAGUCUGCAAAUCCUUCUGAAGUCAACAACCAAUUCCUUCGUCUUGCUGACAUUGAGGGAUAGGUUAUUGUCUUUACACCAUGCCACCAGGUUCUUAAUUUCCUCUCUGUACUCAGACUCAUCAUUACCCAAGAUACAGCCUACAAUUGUGGUGUCAUCAGCAGACUUAUGUAUUGAGUUUGAUGGAAACUUGGCUACACAAUCAUGGGUGUACAGUGAGUACAGCAGGGGGCUGAGUACACAGCCUUGUGGGGCACCCUUGCUCAGAGUGAUUGUAGAGAAGAGCUUGUCCCCUAUCUUUACAGCCCGGGUCCUGUCUGUGAGGAAGUUGAAGAUCAAGCUGCAGAUCUGAGUGCUAAGACCCAGGUUCUGGAGCUUAGGAAUCAGUUUAUUUGGAAUGAUGGUAUUAAAGGCAGACCUGUAGUUUUUGUGUACAGCUCAUAGAUUCUGUUGUGUUUCUUUAUACUAAAUGUGAAUGCUCACAAGAAAAUUAAUCUCAGGGUAGUAUAAAUUUACUUUGAAUUUUGAACCAUUAUUUAGGCAGAUUGUUUAACAUAUUCUUUUGAUUUGACAUUUCUUAAAAUAUAUGGGUGGAGUGGGAUGUUUAAUUUUACAAGGGAGUGCUUUCUCUAAUAAGAAAACUUUAAUAUAUUAUUAUGGCAUCUUUAACAUUUAGUUUGCUUAAAACACUGAAUUCGAAAACCUAGUCCAAAAGGUUAUUUUAUUUCUGAUUGUUAUACGUUGCUUAUGUAUUUAAAAAAUCCUUAUUCCUUAUUCAUUUCCAGCUUCUUUGAGAUGGACAGCCUGUUAAUUCCCCUGUUUAAUUAAAAAAUAUCAAAUUAUUCAACAUUAUUUUCUUACAUUCUUUUACAAUAUCACUGUUACCUGUUUUCAAGAGGUAAAUGCUUCUCCUGAUCAAUUUCUUUUCUUUCAUUGUAAAGGCUGAUUUAUACUUGUGCAUACAGGUUAUGCUGCAGCCUACGCCGUAGCCCUGAUUUUCACUUCUGUGUUGCUCUACGCCGUAGCGAGCAUAUGUUGGUGUGCACCAAAACACUAGUUGGCGGUGGAAUUUCUAUGCCACUGCAUUCAGUUUCUUUCUGAGAGACAUGGAUGAGGAAAUGCAUUUCAAACAUUUUCACAUGUCGGCAGGUAGAUUUGGCAACUUGGUUCAUCUAUUUUUGCAUCGGUGUACAGACACGGUGGAGAAAAAGCAACCGGAAAUGUGUAGGAGGAAAUGUGAUGAAACCAAGUGGACCAAUCACAGUUGUUGUGGUCUGCAUCACCACAACACGCGAGUUAGUUUUUCAGGGAGGUGUACGUCACCCUACGCCGUAGGGUACGUGGUACCUACGGUGUAGAUGUGGCACACAAGUAUAAAUCAGCCUUUAGUUGUACUAAGUUUGAGGUCCCUUGUGGGCUCCUCUCCCACUUGCAGUAAAUAAGAUGGACUGAAUUAAUAAAUUUGUGAACAUUCUUGGCUGCUUAAGAUUGAGGGAAACUGUUCCUAUGAGAAGUGGGCACAGAUUUCAAAGUUACUUUGAACAUGUGAAUAGUUCAAUGACAAGUGGGCAAAGAUUUACAAUUCUGGGCAAAAUAUAAAAAGGUGGAUACAACAAAAUUAGUCUAGUUCAACAGAUUUUGUAUCAUACUGAUGCAGAAACUCCUUGUUGUACAGGUUGAAACUUUCCACCAGCUGGCACUGUGUGAAAAGCAAAUUGUUAUGAACGAAAUUCAGUGGUUCAUAUCAGUUAGCAUAGGCAGUUUAUUAGCAUUGCAAGGUUAUAUCUUUACAAUAAAAUAUUCUUCCCCCAAAGUCCUUUGCUGUUAUUACCAUUUUUAUAUAAAUAAAGCAAUCCAUUUUACUUAUGAGAACCAAUAUAUUUUACUUUUAACAUUUCAUACACAACAGAUAAAAAUUUCAAGACAUGCAGAACCCAUAAGAGGAACCUUCAAAUAUAUUUAAACUAGUAAGACUGUCAGUUCAGAAAAACAGCACACAAGGAAGUUUUAGUAACUUUUCAGUUUCAAUUAUUAAAUUACAUUUUAUAGAAUAAAGUUUUUAAAAAAGGCCACAUUGUUUCUAAGAUUGACAAGCAACUAAUUUUAAUAGAGUAAUAUGAAUCAAUUAUCUGCCAAUAGAAUUAUACACUCCAUACAUUAGAAGUAUUCACAAAACACCUUGAAAAUUAAUCUGAUUCAAAACUUGACAGAAUGUACUGUUCAGGAAGUUUUUGCUACAUGUCUGUCUCCACCAAGUGUUAAACAGAUUAUAAAUGAAUAGUAGGUAGCAUCAUAUUGUCAGUCCACACACCUCACAACUAGAGAAACACUUCCUAAAGGUCAACUCAUCAACGAAUUAUUGUUCUGGCAGAUUUUUAAAAUUAGUAAUUAACACAUUACUGCAUUUUAAACAAAACUAGUUUAAAAAUCUUUUCACAAAAAGUAAUUAUAGACAUUGUGAAACAGAGUUUUUCAAUCUCAACACGUCUAAUUUUUGUAGCAAUAAUCAAUGGCAACUGCGGGAUUAUCAAUAUGUUUAUAUCAAGGAAAUCAGAAUUCUAACACUUAAUUUUGCACAAAGUAAAACAUAUUGUAAAAAAUAAAUUAAAAAGCUAUUCAAACUGACAUGGUCUCAAAGCGAAGCAAUGUGUUAAGGUUUUGAAAAUAUUGAUAAUGUUUCUUAUCAUUGUAAGUAAAUGGUAAACUUUCAAGUGUUAAUAGAAAUUUUCAGUUAGCUUUUCUAUACAUUAUGGGUUUUCUAUCAAUACCCAAGUCAGACUAACUAAAAUACUGCAGGAAUGUCUGAUGCAUUAAAAAUACCUUAUCUAUAUAUUUUUGCAGAAACUACUUUUCAGAAUAUGUCAUCCAUUAAAGGAAUGACAAAAGUUAUUACAGCAGACAAGAAAUUACACUAACACAUAAAAUGUGUCACCUUGGAUUCAAAAAUCUACUAACAAAAUACUGCAAUCUCCCAUUAAUAGGAAAAGCAUACAAGCUGAAACAUUCUUUAGUGCAUUCUUAAACACAAGAGAUUCUGCAGAUGCUGGAAAUCCAGAGCAACACAAACUAAUUUUUCUUCCACAAUUCCCAAUAGAUUUCAGAAGAUUAGCUCACAGGCUUCAAUUUUAACAAGUAGGUUUGUAAAAUUAAUAUACAUUUACUUUUCUACAAAUAAAGGUUUUCAUGAGAAGCAAGGAAUGCUUUUAAAAUGUGUAUUCUCUUCAUUAUUUGAUAUCAACAUAAUUUUCAUUAUAUAUAGUUGAAAAUCACACCAAAACAAAAUGUUACUUAAGUUUGUGUUCCUACAGCACAUCCUAAAUUAAACUACAUCCUCCAGAAAAAUCUCUAUCUUCAAAAAAAAAACUAAAAAUCCUGAAUUCUCCAUUAAUAGUUCUAUUUCCAGAUUUAAAAUCUGUCCCAAAAUCUGUCGGAAUGUGGACUAUUUUUAAGUACAUCCCUUUUCCAUGGAAUUAUUAAUAAUCCAUAGGCCUUUUCUCAAGCCCUUACCCCAUUCCCUAUCAUCUCCAAACUGCUCAGCAUCUCUGCUUAUAAGAUUAAACACAAAAUAAUGGGACAACUCUGGCAAGCAGCUUUGAAUGGCCAGACCAAGCAAAAGGAAAUGGCCUAAUUCUGCCCCUCUUUCUUAUGAACUUACACAGACACUGGAUAAACCAAUUCCUAUUAUAGUACAAAGCUCAUAUAGCAAUUAGCAAACUAUACUUCAUGUUAUUUCCACAUUGGUUCUAUCAAACACCCAAGCAAAUUCAUUAACACAAAAUUAUCUUAAUUAAUUUACAAUAAUUAACAUCUAAAAAGGAAAUUGGGAUAACUUAAACUUGUAAAUGCUGGUUACUGAAUUCUCAAUUUAUUUAUUUAAUGGGAUAUGGUGCAAAAUAGGCCCUUCCAGCCGUGCUACCCAGCAAUCCCCAUAUUUAAUCCUAAUUUAAUCAAGGAGAAUUUAUAAUGACCAAAUAACCUACUAACCUUUGGACUGUGGGAUGAAACACACGUGGCCAUGGGGAGGAUGUACAAACUCCUCAUGGCGGGAAUGCAUCCUUGGUGUAUAACACUUACAAUUUUCUUAUCAUAUACUAAGCUCAAAUUCUGUUCAAAAUACCUCAAAUUCUGUUUGAAUGCAUUACUAAAUAUAAAGCUCAUAACCAUCUCUUCAAAUUUACACUAGUGUAUCAAAGGAGUAAAAAUAUACUUCUGUUCACCAAGUAUUUAUAUCCAAUAUCUUGAAAACUUCUCAUGAUAGAAUGUAAAUAUUUCAGUUUUAAACCUUAUCCCUUCACAAAAGAAAAAUUUGGAAAAAUAUCCAAAAAGCAAGAGCUGCUGUAAUUUUCCAAAUGAUUCACUGACAUUAGAAUGUUAGCAACCUCAUGAUCAAUAGAAAGAAAUUUUGUUAUUUUGUACCAUGAAGCUUUACCAUGAAAUUGUUUAAUAGCAGCCAUUUUCUGACCACUGCACUGUUUCCAGUGUUCAUUUGACAGCACAAUUUCAGUUAGAAACACCAUUAUAAGGCACUUCUAUCCAUUAGACUUUGGCAGCUAUAACAUAAUGACAGUAUAGGUAAGUGCACUUAGGAAAAUAGGCACAUCCAAAACAUACACAGGGUUGCUGCUGAGCAUUUUGACGGAAACCUAAUUGUUUUCUACCUACAAGGAAUGCAAAAUGCACAAUAUAAUGUAACCCAUUCCUUUGCAAUGUCAGAAAGUAGUGUCAUAAAAAUAUAAUACAGCAUAGAUGCAAUGCUGCUUUCAUAUUAGUCUAUUUAUUCAUUUCCAGAGGCUGCCUGACCUGCUGAGUUUCUCCUGCAUUUUGUGCAUGUUAUUCAUGUUAGUCUAUUCGUUUCCUAUCCCCACCUCUAUAUAUCAUUGUAAAAAGGACUAACUAGCACGGACAAUCUUCCUCUGUUAAAAGCAUCUGUUCAGAUGUAUGCACUGCUGUCAACAUCAGGAAGACAAUUUGCCCUUGCAGCUUGCUGUUAAGUGUCUAAAGCUGCACUUAUUUCAAGGUCAAUGAGAGACAAGACUGAAAUAAAAUGGAAGUGUUCACAAAAUUUUAACCUAUUUCUGAAAAUUAGUAAGAUUAUUUGUCAUUUGAAAUUUAAAGCAUUUUUAUAGUUACAUGCAGAAAAUUACAUUCUCUUCCAAUUAUGCAGUUAUUUGGAAUAUCAAAAGUAUGUAAUUGCCUUAUGGCAAUUUAGUUUUAACAUUUAUCAAAUUACACUUCAGAAGUUAAUAUUAGAAAAUUGAACAAUAUUCUGAACACGUUUUAUUUCCAGAAAAGAAUAAUUGCACACUUGGAGGUUUGGAAUAUGUGUCCCAUUUGGAUUAGAUAUUUUGAAAAAUCUUUGUUUCUAUUACUUUGAAUUUCAGUAGACUAUUUAGAAUAGAUUUACAGAAUUACAUCAUUAAAUGGGGCAAUGCCUAGAGCAGGGGUCUCAACCUUUUUUUAUGCCAUGGACCCCUACCAUUAACCAAAGGGUCUGUGGAUUCUAAGUUGGAAACCCCUGCUCUAGAGUAAUGCAUCAAUAUUUUUACAUAUGCAUGCAUUCAACAUAUGGCAUCUAGUCAUCUAUUACUUAGGCUAUUAUUUUAAAAGGAGAUCUAGUUAACCAAGUCUUUUUUUU